rnacentral:lncRNA from 1 species
AGUUUUCUUGUCUUUUGGCAAUUGCCAUUCCAGUUUUUCUUUCAAUGUACAUACUUGUUUAUUUAUAUGUUUUUUACCUUUCUUUGAAUGAAGCUCACUUGUCUGAAUUGCUUUUUCAUCGAGUUCUUGUCCUUGACACUAAGACUUAACCAAAUUCUAAUCAAAUCUUAACCAAACCCUAAUCAAAUCCUAAUCAAUCCCUAACCAAAUCCUACUCAAAUCCUAACCAAAUCCCAAUCAAAUCCUAAUCAAAUCCUAACCAAACCUUAGUCAUCCCUAAAUAAAUCUUAAUCAAAUCCUAAUCAAAUCCUAAAUAAAUCCUAAAUAAAUCCUAAUCAAAU